AGUAGGUGGGGGUGUCACCCUCAAGGCCUCAUCGCUGUAGACUUCAUGGGCCACAACAUCGUGGGUCUGCAGUAGAGCCUGGUUGUAUGGACAGAAUAAGACCUGAUGAUGAUCCAAGUAUAAAAACAAUCUCCCAGCUCUACGACAGUUUAUCAAAAACCCUUCACUCUUUUUAACCUUUCCCCUUUGCUCUUUUUAUAUCAGAAUCCAUCUUAGCAGCUCACUGUUAAAAGUCUGCAGUUUGAGAGCAGAGGGACUAAUGGACUGACCCACACCUCGACUGUUACCACUGUCAACACUAAAGUCCUAACACGUGGCCCAUACCUACGUCUGCUUAGCUCCCGUCGUGUGUGACCAUGCCUGUCUGAGUUCUCACCAAGGCUCAGGUGUUAAGCAGCUUUGUGGUCAAAGGAGUAACAUCGGCUGAGAAUAACAUCUCUAACACAGUGGGUGCUGAUGUCACACCAUGAGGCAAGA